AGCCUUUUAAAUAUUUCCAUACACGAUUAAAUUGUCCAUAUACCUUGAACGUCUUCUAAGAACUGUUCAAUACUUUGGCAAAAAAAAAAUCUAUGUGAAAUAUUAAUCAUAUUUUACAUUAUAAUAAUAAAAUCAAAAUAAAUGUACAAAUAAAUUGUAUUACAACUAUAGCUCCUAAAUAUUACCCAUGCAUGAUAAAAUUUUCCAUUUCAAUAGCUUGUUGCAAUCCCUUGGCUCCAAUCUCUGAACAGUUUUAGUCUACAACAACUUCUUGUUCUUCCUAUUUUUUCCUCUUAUUUAUAUUGUUCCUAAGCUAUUCAUAUAGUCUAUUCUUAUUAUAUCUUAAAUAAACAUUGUAAUUAGAGCAACUGUAAAAACAUGUUCCAAGGUUCUUCAAAGAAUAUCAUAUUAAUUACUAUGUGGGCUUAUAUAUGUAAAUUAUUGUGCAUUAAGGCUAUCAGAUUAAUUGGACCUAGUUAAAAGUGAUUUGAUACGGUUAAAAGUAUAUUGGAUCUUAAUACAUCAAAUUAAAGUAUAGGGUUUAUUUUAUGUGUAAAGACCAAAUCUAUAAUUCAUAAUUUUAUGAUAGGUCAAAUUAGGAAUAUAAAAAAUUUAUAGGCAAUAUUUGCCUAUAAAUAGGCAGUUAUGAUUCUCAAAUUAUACGUAAAAUUUUUCUAUUCUGAUAUCUCACCAAAAAUAAAGAAAGUGUGAAAAGUCAAAAGAUUACAUCCUAAUUUAGAAUAUCUGCCGCAUAACCUGCAGAUUUCUUCUCUAUGGAUUCAAGUACGCUUUCGUGUUUGUUAUCUUUGAUUCAGUACGAGAUUUGUUUAUAGUUUUAUUUUCAUAUCUAGUUUGAUUUAAUUAUAACAAGUGGUACUAGAGCUACCUCUAUUGAAUACUUGAGAUUUAGAUUUUUGGGUUUUUGAACUCGAAUGCAUGUGUUUUAUUUUAAAAUCUGGAAUAUAUAUAAUUUUGUGUUGAUUUUGUCUUAGUGUUAAAAUUUUUGGAUUAAUUUUUUAAACAAAAAUUAUGAAUUAAGAAACAAUUUUUUCAUAUAUUGUUUUCUUUUUAAGUUUUAUGGUCAUAUCUGUUUUCUGGAAAUUAUAUAUAUAUAUACAGAGAGAGAGAGAGAGAAAAAAAGUUAUAUAUAUAAAUAUAUGUGUAUAUAUAAUAUAUUACAGAAAGAAGAAGAAAAGAAUGCAUACGAAGGGAGGCUGAUCAGCCUCCCGGUCACCGCGGUGAAGCCGUGUCGUGUGGCGCGACCUCUUUGAAGAAGCCGCGACCUUUUGGUCACAGCGUGCAUAGAAUAAGCCGCCGC
rnacentral:lncRNA from 1 species